rnacentral:rRNA from 1 species
UACGUAGGGUGCGAGCGUUAAUCGGAAUUACUGGGCGUAAAGCGUGCGCAGGCGGCGCGUUAAGACAGGUGUGAAAGCCCCGAGCUUAGCUUGGGAAUUGCGCUUGUGACUGGCGUGCUGGAGUGUGGCAGAGGGAGGUGGAAUUCCACGUGUAGCAGUGAAAUGCGUAGAGAUGUGGAGGAACACCGAUGGCGAAGGCAGCCUCCUGGGCCAGCACUGACGCUCAUGCACGAAAGCGUGGGGAGCAAACAGG